ACAUGGAAGAGCCGCAAGGUUUGGAGUGGACGGGUACUAACCGCCGAGAACUU
rnacentral:rRNA from 1 species